rnacentral:rRNA from 1 species
UACAGAGGGUGCAAGCGUUAAUCGGAAUUACUGGGCGUAAAGCGCGCGUAGGUGGUUUGUUAAGUUGGAAUGUGAAAUCCCCGGGCUCAACCUGGGAACUGCAUCAAAACUGGCAAGCUAGAGUAGGGCAGAGGGUGGUGGAAUUUCCUGUGUAGCGGUGAAAUGCGUAGAUAUAGGAAGGAACACCAGUGGCGUAAGGCGC